UGGGGAAUCUUGCACAAUGGGGGCAACCCUGAUGCAGCGACGCCGCGUGAGCGAUGAAGCCCUUCGGGGCGUAAAGCUCUUUCGACCGGAACGAUAAUGACGGUACCGGGAGAAGAAGCUGCGGCUAACUACGUGCCAGCAGCCGCGGUAAUACGUAGGCAGCAAGCGUUGUUCGGAGUUACUGGGCGUAAAGAGUGCGUAGGCGGUUUUCUAAGUUCGGUGUGAAAUCUCCCGGCUUAACUGGGAGGGUGCGCCGAAGACUGGGAAGCUGGAGUGUGGGAAAGGCAGGCGGAAUUCCUGGUGUAGCGGUGAAAUGCGUAGAUAUCAGGAGAAACACCGGCGGUGUAGACGGCUUGCUAGACCAUAACUGACGCUGAGGCACGAAAGCGUGGGUAGCAAACAG
rnacentral:rRNA from 1 species